UACCUUGACGGUACCUUGCGAGAAAGCCACGGCUAACUACGUGCCAGCAGCCGCGGUAAUACGUAGGUGGCGAGCGUUGUCCGGAAUUAUUGGGCGUAAAGCGCGCGCAGGCGGCCUUUUAAGUCUGAUGUGAAAGCCCCCGGCUCAACCGGGGAGGGUCAUUGGAAACUGGAAGGCUUGAGUACAGAAGAGAAGAGUGGAAUUCCAUGUGUAGCGGUGAAAUGCGUAGAGAUGUGGAGGAACACCAGUGGCGAAGGCGACUCUUUGGUCUGUAACUGACGCUGAGGCGCGAAAGCGUGGGGAGCAAACAGGAUUAGAUACCCUAG
rnacentral:rRNA from 1 species